UACGUAGGGACCAAGCGUUGUUCGGAUUUACUGGGCGUAAAGGGCGCGUAGGCGGCCAGUGCAAGUCAGUUGUGAAAUCUCCGAGCUUAACUCGGAAAGGUCAACUGAUACUGCUCGGCUAGAGUGCGGAAGGGGCAACUGGAAUUCUUGGUGUAGCGGUGAAAUGCGUAGAUAUCAAGAGGAACACCUGCGGCGAAGGCGGGUUGCUGGGCCGACACUGACGCUGAAGUGCGAAAGCUAGGGGAGCGAACGGG
rnacentral:rRNA from 1 species